CGAACGGCAGCACAGAGGACCUUGCUCCUUGGGUGGCGAGUGGCGGACGGGUGAGGAAUACAUCGGAAUCUACUUUUUCGUGGGGGAUAACGUGGGGAAACUUACGCUAAUACCGCAUACUACCUACAGGUGAAAGCGGGGGACCUUCGGGCCUUGCGCGAUUGAAUGACCCGAUGUCAGAUUAUCUAGUUGGCGGGGUAAAGGCCCACCAGGGCGACGAUCCGUAUCUGGUCUGAGAGGAUGAUCACCCACACUGGAACUGAGACACGGUCCACACUCCUACGGGAGGCAGCUGUGGGGAAUAUUGGACAAUGGGCGCAAGCCUGAUCCCCCAUACCGCGUGGGUGAAAAACGCCUUCGGGUUGUAAAGCCCUUUUGUUGGGAAAGAGAUCCAGCUGGCUAAUACCCGGUUGGGAUGACGGUACCCAAAAAAUAAGCACCGGCUAACUUCGUGCCAGCAGCCGCGGUAAUACGAAGGGUGCAAGCGUUACUCGGAAUUACUGGGCGUAAAGCGUGCGUAGGUGGUCUUUUAAGUCCUUUGUGAAACCCCUGGGCUCAACCUGAGAACUGCAGUGGAUACUGGGCGACUAUAGUGUGGUAGAGGGUAGCGGAAUUCGUGGUGUAGCAGUGAAAUGCGAGAGAUCAAGGAGAACAUCCAUGGACGAAGGCACCUACCUGGACCAACACUGACACUGAGGCACAAAGCGUGAGCAACAAACAGGAUUAAAUACCCUGGUACUCCACGCCCUAAACGAUGCAACUGGAUUGUGGGUGCAAUGUCGUCACGCACUAAACAAACUAACUCAUUAAAUCGCCGGCUGGGGAGUACGGUCCGAUAACUGAAAAUUAAAUGAAUCGACGGGCGGCCCACACAAUCGAUGAGUUAGUUGGUUUAUUU
rnacentral:rRNA from 1 species